rnacentral:lncRNA from 10 species
GGUAGCGGAGGCGGCGGUCAGGCGCCGCUUCUGGGGAGUGGCCUUUCUUUUCCCCUCCCUCCCGGUUCGGUGGCGGCGGCUCCUCCCACUGGGGGGGGGGGUGGCGCGGCGGCGGUGGCAUCUGCGGCCAUGGCGGCGACUACUGCCAACCCCGAAAUGACAUCAGAUGUACCAUCACUGGGUCCAGCCAUUGCCUCUGGAAACUCUGGACCUGGAAUUCAAGGUGGAGGAGCCAUUGUCCAGAGGGCUAUUAAGCGGCGACCAGGAUGGAGUCUUGCAGUUGUCGCCCAGGCUUGAGUGCAAUGGUGCGAUCUUGGCUCACUGAAACCUCCACCUCCCGGGUUCCAGCAAUUCUCCUGCCUCAGCCUCCUGAGUAGCUGAGAUUACAGGCUGGAUUUUGAUGAUGAUGGAGAAGGGAACAGUAAAUUUUUGAGGUGUGAUGAUGAUCAGAUGUCUAACGAUAAGGAGCGGUUUGCCAGGUCGGAUGAUGAGCAGAGCUCUGCGGAUAAAGAGAGACUUGCCAGGGAAAAUCACAGUGAAAUUGAACGGCGGCGACGGAACAAGAUGACAG